rnacentral:rRNA from 1 species
UACGGGGGGGCAAGCGUUGUUCGGAAUUACUGGGCGUAAAGGGCUCGUAGGUGGUCAACUAAGUCGGACGUGAAAUCCCUCGGCUUAACCGGGGAACUGCGUCCGAUACUGGAUGACUUGAGUUCGGGAGAGGGAUGCGGAAUUCCAGGUGUAGCGGUGAAAUGACGUAGAUAUCUGGAGGAACACCGGUGGCGAAGGCGGCAUCCUGGACCGACACUGACGCUGAGGAGCGAAAGCCAGGGGAGCAAAGCGGG